UAUCACACACCAUUUAUUACACACUCCAAUAACUUUCUUAAAACCCGUGCCCUGGAGAAAUGGGACUCCAAUUGCCGGACGGAGGGAGUAAAUGACAAAAAAAAAGCAGUGGAGGACUGGAGAUAGAGGACGGAAGGAAUAGAAUCGGGGAUACAAUGCCCACCUGCAAAUCAAAUUACUUCAAAUUAUCAGAAAUAAAUCUGUAAUGGUGGUUGCAGCGGCCGUACAAGUCGGUAAUCUUCCCUCCAAGUUUCACCGAUUUCUUCCUUUGGCACCCAAAAUCGCCGCCCGAAUGAAGGCCAACUCUGCGCCACUAUUCGUAUCAAUGAAUCCAUCCGACGUGAAUCUGUAUCGGCUGAGAGAGCUGUACGCCGUCUGCGACCACUCCUGCCACCGCUUCCCCAAUACCGACGGCGCGGGCAGAGUGGAGCCAGUCGACGCGCUCAAGCUCAGCACCGCCCUUUCCCACAGCUCCGUCAUCGUCUCCGUCUUCACGAAUGCCGAAUCGGUGCCGAGUGUCGGUGGAAAUUGGAUCAGAAAACUGACGCCGAAAAAUGGGAGGCUGAUAGGGUUUGGCCGAGCGGUUUCCGAUUUGGGACUCACAGCUCAGCCAGCAUCUAUGACGUCAUGGUUGUAAGGGAAUUGGUGGGACGAUUGUUAAGAAGAUAAUAAGAAUGCUCAUUAACAGACACAUAUAUGAUAUAGGUGCCCUCUGCAAUGAUAACGAAAGGCUAUUUUUCAGAGCAUGUGGAUUUGGAGACGAUAUGCUGGGAUGUAUACUGCUGCUGCUGCUGCUGCGGAGGAGGAAAAGGAUAUGAUAGUUGCUGGCAUAAAGCUGCUUCUACUUCCUCCUCAAAGACAAUUUAAGCACAAGUAUAUUCACAGAGAGAUAUGGGCCAUGGAAGAUCCCUUAUUGAGCUUGGGGCAUCCACAAUGCGGUGCAGGGGAUGGGAGGGACGGGCAUCUCUAAGUGGAGGGAAAGCUGGGAGCCAGCCAUGCUGGUGCUCCCUCCACCAAUAGAUUCGCCCUCUCACUAAGAAUGAGAGAGAGGUAUUUUUAUUUGUUUAUAUUUGAAAAUGUUAAUUUUAUUAUUUUUGACAAUAGCAUUCUUACCUUUUAUUUUCA